rnacentral:rRNA from 1 species
UACGUAGGGGGCAAGCGUUGUCCGGAAUCAUUGGGCGUAAAGCGCGUGUAGGCGGUUCAGUAAGUCUGCUGUGAAAGUCCAGGGCUCAACCUUGGGAUGCCGGUGGAUACUGCUGGGCUAGAGUACGGAAGAGGCGAGUGGAAUUCCCGGUGUAGCGGUGAAAUGCGCAGAUAUCGGGAGGAACACCAAUUGCGAAGGCAGCUCGCUGGGACGUUACUGACGCUGAGACGCGAAAGCGUGGGGAGCAAACAGG